rnacentral:rRNA from 1 species
UGCGUAGGUGGGUCUGUAAGUCAGUGGUGAAAUCUCCGAGCUUAACUCGGAAACUGCCAUUGAUACUAUAGGUCUUGAAUUAUCUGGAGGUAAGCGGAAUAUGUCAUGUAGCGGUGAAAUGCUUAGAUAUGACAUAGAACACCAAUUGCGAAGGCAGCUUACUACGGAUCGAUUGACACUGAGGCACGAAAGCGUGGGGAUCAAACAGGAUUAGAUACCCUGGUAGUCCACGCCCUAAACGAUGGAUACUCGACAUUUGCGAUAUACUGUAAGUGUCUGAGCGAAAGCAUUAAGUAUCCCACCUGGGAAGUACGAUCGCAAGAUUGAA